UCUAAAAUACAGGCUUCUGAUAACUUUGGAAAUUGUAACAUUGGAAUAAAGGAAAACAUACAGGACUCGUGAACAGCUGAAAUGUUCAUGAAUAUUAAGCAAAACAAGAGUCAACUAAAUGGACUAAACUCAGAAACUGAAUGGAGCAAAUCUUUCUGACUUUUGCUUGAAAUAUUGCUGAUCCUUGUUAUGUUUUUCAGAGUCAAAGAAACUUAUUUUAAACUAUUUAUGGCCUUUAAUUAUUAAGAUACACUCCUAGAUCAAAAUUUGGAGCAUGUUUGUUUCUCUCUGCCUGCUUCCCUUAGAAUUUGGAAAGUAUCUGUGAGUAUUCUUAACUUACAGCAAUAUAGUUGUUUGCAUCAGUGCAAUAAGAAUCCAUCUUUCUUUUGCAACAGAACGCAAUUGGAAAAACUGGUCAUUUCACCAAGGCUUUGACUGGAAGGGUAUGCUUCCCUUUAAGGAGUCAAUCUCGACUUGCAGAGCCAAUAAAAGCCCAGUGGGGAGACUGGCCUCAUAACUUUGUCUAUGCAGUCCCUGUACAGGGUUCCUGAUGUGUGGUCAGUAAUGAUUGUCACUUUCUAACAGGUCCAGGAGCUCCAAGUUUAUCUUGGGACCUUAUGAGGAGAGGAUGACCCCACUCACAGGUAUUUGAGGAUACUAACCCAUGGCUGGGCUCAGUUUUAAAAUACCUUAUCUGAGACUCCUUGUGGAACAAAGUUCCAUCAAAGCCAAUCCAAAAGGCCUAUGUAGAAAUGAUUAUUCUUGCUGCACUUUAUGUAAAUAAUCAGGCCAAGUGUAAAACCAAAGUCUAUUUUUCAAACAACCCAGUCCCAUUAUGAUUUGUUUUUUUUAAACAAACAUGAGGACUGGAGAGAGUAAAAUUAUAUUCCAAACUUUCUCAUACAUUUGUCAUUAAAUUCUAAACUAACUAAUUGUUUUUAAGUUUUCUCCUACAUUUUAGACUAAUCCUGCUUGUUCCUGUGAACCAACCAGCAAUCUCUGGCUGCAGCUCAGAAAGAACAAAAGGGGAUGGGUAAUGUAGAAAUCCUGAUCAAUAUUCUAGUUCUGUGCAAUUAUCCUGCAAAUCUUGCCAGGUGAUGGAAUACAUAGGGAAUAAAUAGGAUCCCAUCACUCAGAGGUUUCCUUUUGGGGAAGUAAGACCAAGGGAGCUAACCAAAGCCAGACACCAUGCACCCAAAUCCUAGCAAGCAUAACUAUAGCUACCAGUUAUCUGGGGGUGUCAUAAGACAUCCUUUCUCACCCUCGGAGGAGGACUUAGUUCCACAGUUUCAUCAUAGCAUUUGGCUUAUGAUAAGGAGUCCACGCAACUUUCCCCGAGACACAUUUUUGUCCCAGACUCAAUUACAGGCUUUGGGUUAAAGCCCUAGAAAGAAAAUUGGAUAUAAAGGAUCCAGAGGCAGACAACAACAGAGGUUAAAAGGCACAGCACAGGGGAGCAUGGCUGAUUCCUGUUGAUUAAGCCAACCCCAAACUUCCUGUUUCAUGGAUAAAGGCCACAUUAAUAUCCAUGGUGUAAAUGAGGUCUAGGGCACUCCAAGGCUACUGACAGUAGCAGUGAUAGAGGCAUAGGUGAGAGCAGAUAAUUCCUAUUCUCUAGGCCUUCCCUGCUUCAUGUGUGCAAGCUGCUUUGGCACUCAUGGCGGGACCUGCCUAGGUCACAGGGACUUGGAGAUGCAAGGAUGGAAGAGGAAAAGAGGACACUCUUCCUUUUCUCCCUCAUGUACCCCAGGUAUCUGCUAGGAAGAAAAGGGAGCCAGGGAUGCCUGCUCCCCUCUUUCUAGAUGGGUAGCUAUUAAUCUUCAGUAUGUACCCCUUUUGAAUACAUCCUGAACCCCGGGGACUCCCUUAAAAAAAUGCCUUUUUGAGCUUACCCUUCCUAUUGUUUUGUUUUGAUACAUGUUUUCUAAUAACCCGGUUUGUCUGUUCUUAGACCAUCAAACUCCAAAUGGUCAUGCAACCAGAGCCUCUGACGAUGGCCCCUUCUGCUGGGAACCCUUAAAUAGGCCUCUGAGGAAGCUCUGACUGCCAUUUCCCCAAAAGCUCUGACUGCCGUUUCCCUGUCAGCAGGAAGCACUGGGAGGAGCGUGGCCCCUCCUCUUCCUGCAUGGAACCUGGGAUUCAAACAGGGGCUCUGGCCUUGCGGAAGAUCCCUGUUUCUCUCCUUCUUUUCCCUUUUCACCCAAUAAAACCCUGCCUUAAUCACACUUCAAACCAUUUGCUAGCCUAAAUUUUCAUGGCCAUGGGACAGACAAGGACUCAGUCUUUAGCUGAACUAAGGAAAUGUCCUGAAACAGUAAUAUGAAUGUAUACAUGUGAUAAAUGACAUAAAGCCAUAGUGUACAUAUUGUGCCAAUGUCAAAUUCCUAAUUUUGAUUUUGUGCUAUAAUUAUGUAAGGUAUAACCAUUGGGGAAAACUGGUAAGGGGUACGUGGAUCCCCUCUGCCCUACCUUUGAAACUCCCUGUGAAUCUAUUCUUUUUUUUUUUUUUUAAUUAUACUUUACGUUCUAGGGUACAUGUGCACAACAUGCAGGUUUGUUACAUAUGUAUGCAUGUGCCAUGUUGGUGUGCUGCACCAUUAACUCAUCAUUUACAUUAGGUAUAUCCCCUAAUGCUUUCCCUCCCCCCUCCCCCC
rnacentral:lncRNA from 1 species